rnacentral:rRNA from 1 species
UAAGACGGAGGAUGCAAGUGUUAUCCGGAAUCACUGGGCGUAAAGCGUCUGUAGGUGGUUUAAAAAGUCUACUGUUAAAAAUUGAAGCUUAACUUCAAAGAUGCCGUAGAAACUUUUAAACUCGAGGAUGGUAGGGGUAGAGGGAAUUUCCAGUGGAGCGGUGAAAUGCGUAGAUCUUGGAAAGACCACCAAUGGCGAAGGCACUCUACUGGGCCAUUACUGACACUAAGAGACGAAAGCUAGGGGAGCAAAUGGGAUUAGAUACCCCAGUAGUCCUAGCUGUAAACGAUGGAUACUAGAUGUUGUGUGUAUUGACCCAUGCAGUAUCGUAGCUAACGCGUUAAGUAUCCCGCCUGGGAAGUAUGCUCGCAAGAGUG